rnacentral:rRNA from 1 species
AACGAACGCUGGCGGCAGGCUUAACACAUGCAAGUCGAACGCCCCGCAAGGGGAGUGGCAGACGGGUGAGUAACGCGUGGGAACGUGCCCUUCGCUUCGGAAUAGCCCCGGGAAACUGGGAGUAAUACCGGAUACGCCGUAUUGGGAAAGAUUUAUCGGCGAAGGAUCGGCCCGCGUUGGAUUAGCUAGUUGGAGGUGUAAUGGACCCCCAAGGCUACGAUCCAUAGCUGGUCUGAGAGGAUGAUCAGCCACACUGGGACUGAGACACGGCCCAGACUCCUACGGGAGGCAGCAGUGGGGAAUCUUGGACAAUGGGCGCAAGCCUGAUCCAGCCAUGCCGCGUGAGUGAAGAAGGCCUUAGGGUUGUAAAACUCAUUCGCCGGAGAAGAUAAUGACGGUAUCCGGAGAAGAAGCCCCGGCUAACUUCGUGCCAGCAGCCGCUGUAAUAC